GCUUCGGUGACCUAGUGGUUAGAGCGUCCGCCUCGAAAGCAGGAGGUCGCAGGUUCGAACCCCAGCCGAGUCA